UGGAUAGCUCAAACGGUUAGAGCAUCGGUUUCAGAUACCGAGUGUUGCGGGUUCGAUUCCCGCUCCAA
rnacentral:tRNA from 1 species